GUAUAUAUAUAUAUAUAUAUAUAUAUACAUAUACACAUAUAUAUAUAUAUUCCAAAAGAAGUCUCAUUUAUGAAUUGUGUAUAAAAGGGAUGUUUAAUAGUACUCAUCCUUAAUGUCGGGUGGGGGGUUUCAAGCAAGUGUCUCCUUAUCUCUGUGAUUUGCCUUGAAAAGGAUGUAACAAAAUAAAAAGGUUUGUGUCAAA